AAUCAGUGAUGAAAUAU
rnacentral:sRNA from 1 species